rnacentral:rRNA from 1 species
CUACCCUUGACAUGCCACUAACGAAGCCGAGAUGCAUUAGGUGCCCGAAAGGGAAAGUGGACACAGGUGCUGCAUGGCUGUCGUCAGCUCGUGUCGUGAGAUGUUGGGUUAAGUCCCGCAACGAGCGCAACCCUUGUCUCUAGUUGCUACGAAAGGGCACUCUAGAGAGACUGCCGGUGACAAACCGGAGGAAGGUGGGGAUGACGUCAAGUCCUCAUGGCCCUUAUGGGUAGGGCUUCACACGUCAUACAAUGGUACAUACAGAGGGCCGCCAACCCGCGAGGGGGAGCUAAUCCCAGAAAGUGUAUCGUAGUCCGGAUUGUAGUCUGCAACUCGACUACAUGAAGUUGGAAUCGCUAGUAAUCGCGGAUCAGCAUGUCGCGGUGAAUACGUUCCC